CCUACGGGAGGCAGCAGUGAGGAAUAUUUGUCAAUGGGCGGAAGCCUGAACCAGCCAAGUAGCGUGCAGGAUGACGGCCCUACGGGUUGUAAACGUCUUUUAUACGGGAAUAACUCUCCUUACGUGUAGGGCUGUGGAUUUACCGUAUGUAUAAGGACCGGCUUGUCACGUUACAUCAGCCGCGGUGAGUAGGGAGGUCCGGGUGAUGCACGGAGUUGUUGGGUUUAAAGGGAGCGUAUGGUGCAUGUCAAGUUUGCUGUGAAAUGUCCGGGCUCAACCCGCGCCUUGCAGUGGAAACUUGCGUGCUUGAGUUGGAGGGAGGUAGGCGGAAUUCGAGGUGUAGCGGUGAAAUGCGUAGAUA
rnacentral:rRNA from 1 species